UUGUGAAGCUGAUCACUCACCUCCAGCUAGUGCUGAGGUCAAGAAAAUGUGGAUUUAUACAUCCAUUCCUCCAUACAGCUUCAUCCUGUGUUUGACAGUGUAUAAAAUUUAUUUCAGAAAGCCUCUUACAAGGCUAGCCCCUGGUUCAGAGCUGUACCAUGAAUGAAGAAGUAAAUAAAUUAAGUUACAUUUUGAAAUGCACUUCAUUAAUGAAUAUUUCUUUCAUAUCUUUAUUUUGUUGUGAUUUUAUGCACAUUCCAUUCUCCUUUUGUGUCCCCUGGUUGUUACGAGGUAGGACCCCUUGUAAAAUAUACAGUAACAUGCAAGCUUGUCUUGGCAGUUUACAUCUGUGUGUUUCCUUACCUUAUGUACAGUAAAGGAUUCAUUGUCAUAUACUUUUCCCACUGCCUCUAACUUUGAGUAUGCCCUUGAGACAAAUUUUGUUAUUGCAGUUUUCUUCAAAGUCUCUUCAAAACCAUUUCUUUGUGAAGGUUCCUCCAUUUCUCACAAAUAGCCUUCGCUUCCCGGCUGAAGGUUGAUGUAUCUUAAGACAAAAUGCUUGACAUUUUCCGCCUUACCACAUACAAGGCAAUUGUCAUUCAUGUUUCCACUCCUGUAUCCUUUUCAGUUUCCGCAACUGACACCAGAAUGUAAGACACAGCAUAUCAGAGUUGUCUGUUACUUUCCUGAAUGUACGUUUGUGUCUGUUGUGUGCGGUAAUCCAUAAUGUAACAAACUGUGUUAUAUUGGGUUAUCACUGUGCUAUAUAGUCAGUUUUCCUGUGUUAGUGUUUAUAACCUGUGCAUCUCUUAAAAAGAGAUGUCUUGAUAAAAAUAGGACAGCCACAGUGCUUUAAAACAUUAAUCUUACUGGAGAGAAUUUCGGGGGAAAAUUUAUUUGAAAUACACUUAUUAUUUAGUAUUUUUUAAUAGGAUGUAAAAGAUAAAUUAUUUCUGCUUCUUCUAUCCAUUUUACCUGUUAUACAUUCCUGUUUACAAGUGUGGCUUGACUUAGGACCAAAGGUUUCCAUUCAGUUUACAACACUCCUGUUGGUUCACUGAUUGUGUCGCUCUUCAUCCUCCUCUUCCUGUGUGACUUCCUUCUUUACCCUAAACGUGAAGCAGCAGGUUCCCUGCGAACCUAGGUACACGUCUACCAGACACAAGUAGCACAAUGUUAUGUUAAUUGCUAAAGAAAAACACAACCUUCAAGUGUAACAACUUUACAAAAGUAUUGAAUCAAUACAAUUUUAAUAUGUUUUAGUGCUAUAGGACCAUCUUUAGAGGCUCAUCUAAUAAAAGGAGAUUUGCUUAUGUGUACUUUUAAAACUGUGUCUAAAAGAAUUGAUAUACUGUGUACAUUUUUUCUGGGUACAGUAAGAAAGAAGCUGUGACAUUUGUUGUCAGUGAUGUAUUGUUUGUGUGUUUUGAAAUGAGGCCUCCUCUCUGACAAGAGGAGGGGUCUGACCUACUGUUGAUGGCUGACUCAUUGCCCUUGGUUGUAUUGGCAGUUUGCUGGUGGAGAUGUCAGUGACUUGAACCUGAUAGCACCAAAAUGUGUAAGGCAAUCUUAUUGCCCGAGCAUUUUACUAAAGUUUUUGGCACUUGAGGGUUGUCUUAUUCUUUGGCAGUUAAUAGAAAGUGUAAUGGUUGAGAUGUUGUAUUAAACUGCUGUUCUGUUCGUAUGUCUAGCUGUAUCAUAUACAGAAUUCUGUGCCGAGAAACUCCUUGAGUGAGGGACAGAGAACACGAAAACAUAUCCUGUUAGUUUUAUAGAGCUGAUACAUCUGUGGCUGUCCAUUAGUCUUGGGAGUUGGCAUUUCAACUGAUAUAUUUGUAUAAUGGAAUACCCACUGAAAAUUCAACUCAAAAUUUGACAGUUCCCAUUUCUAGUUGUGGUUUCCACAGAACUUACUUUGUGAAAUUACAGGUUUACUGAAUAUAAUAUAAUAAUAAUAAUAAUAAUAAUAAUAAUAAUAAUAAUAAUAAUAAUAAUCUAGAUGUACCUUUCUUCAGUAAUGCUGCACACUGCAAUCUUCUGGUUCUGCUGUAACUAACAGAUUAGUCCUGUGUAUGGGCUUCAUGGCAGUGGCAUGACAACAUUGAGGAACAGUGCCCUUGCAUGCAUUAAUUAUAUUGAAAUGUAAAGAUUGGAUACUUAAAGAAAUUUGAAUUUAAAUUGAAGAGAAGCUGCACAUAAUGAAACUUUCUAAAUGUAAGGAAAGAAGUGCAGUCAUUUCAGAAGAAUACACAAAAUACUUAAUUGUGAUUUCUUUAUCUUGUGUGAGGGCGGGAAGUCUUUGUGCAAUUCUACCUCACAGAAUUCCUCUCUCGACCGGUGUUCAUUUCAGUUUCUUCCUGUCUCCCUGAUGUAACUUCGUGUCAUAUUGUAAUGCCAACUCCUCAGUUACAAGUAGCAGGUGUUACUGAUAUUAAGUUCCCUUUCUUGAGACAAGCAACAGAUAGUUGCACAAUUCAGUGGAAAUGACAUAACACAAAAUGUGCUGGCACAGAGUCAUCAAACCUGAAUUUAACGUAGAACAGAAAACUGCCACCUCCCUCGAAGUGCAAUCUGUUGUAACAUUGAAAUUCUUAGGUUAGACUAAUAUAUAUAGUUGGUAAGUAAAGAACUGCUGAUUGUGUAUUCUAAAAUAAUAUAGGAGAAAUUUAUUUUAUCAUUCUGUGUAAGUAAACUCUAAAAAUCAGCUUUUAUUAACAUGUGACAUAAUCUUGUAAAUGUCUUUGUCAUUCUAUGUAACAUGUGGUGCUUAACCCUUUCCCAUUCUCUUUAUUUCAACCCUCACUCCUGCCAGAUACAAAUUAAUUUGUGUGAAAGUUAAGAAAAAAAAUAACUUUGGUACGGAAAGAUGUGACACACGUAUCAUCUCUUGUUUGGAUAUGAAAGCUACUAAAGAGCAACUCUACAACAUACGUCAUGAUUGUAAUGUGUCAAUAACAUAGUAAGUUUGUGGCAGAAGGCUUCCAACAGUGGACCUGCAUGGGACAGUUAUGUUGGGAGCCUUCAAACACAAGGUGGGAAAGUGUCAGUGUAUGCUAUAUAUACAACUGUGGUCAUGAUUGUUGUGACUGUUAUUUGUAUACAUGUUACUGGAAUCAUGCUAAUGUAGACAAGCACAGAAUGUAUGCAUAUGUAUGUUAUCCUAAAUAUGCGAGUCAGUCCUACUUUAUUAUUGGAUAUUAAGGGGCUAUGUGAAAAUUGUGUGAAUAAGACUUUAGAAGCCAAUUUUAUACCUAAGAUCACAUUUAUAGCGCACUGGCAUAGUGUUUGAUUUUGAGUAUUCAAUAUCAUAACAUGAUUUUGAAAUAAUUGCCCUCUGACAAAACUUAUUUAUAGGUUAAGUCUAAAUAUUUUGUGCAUUGGUGUGAAACAGUAACUAUGCUUAUUACGUUGGACUUUGUCCAUCAUCUCGAGUGUCUUCAAACUGGGUCUGUUUUCUGCCAUCAGAUGUAAGAGGAAAUGUUCCUACUCUGUUGGGUCUUUUAGAACUGAUGGUGGGACAGUUUCCAAAGUGUUGUGUUCUGAAAAAUCUCAAAGAUGAUGGACAGUGUCCAAAAUAAUAAUUAUGGUUCUCUGUAGGUGUAUGACAUCUGUUGUCUGUUGACAUUUGACUGUUGAGUCAGUCAGUGGCACUUCAUGGACAGAGAUCUCAUAUCUGACAGAGAAUAUCAGUGCAUCAAACAAGAAAUAAUGCUUUUACAAAUGUUAAAAAGCUGACAUCUUCAUGGUGAACCUAUUUCUCAGGAGUGGAAAUGGUUUUCUAGAAUCAAGUAGAUGACCCAGAUCAGUAGAAAAACCUGAGGAAGUAAACAACAUGUGAAGAAAAUUGUUUCAGCACAGGUUUGGGAUUUCGUUCCUGUAUGUGUCAUUGUUGCAACAAUACUUAUAACAUCUUAAGCAACUUAAAAUUGAUUCAUUAAAAGAAAGUACUCUGGAACUAAGUAGACAGCAUCUACCAAAGUAUGUAACCAUUUAACGCUGUACUUUGUAAAUCGUUGAGGUUAAAUUGUCAUCAGAUGGUGACACAGAUUUUGUCAUCCAUUGAAAGUUACUACAUUUUAUUUUCAGCUUGUUAUGGGAAGCAAAACUGUUGUACUGAAGAUCUUGUUGAACACUGGACAUUUGUUGAGUAAGGUUGCCUACUUAAGUACAAUGUACCCUUUGAGAUGAUUUAGACAGACAAAAUGAUUUCCUGUAUGUGUGACAACAUUGCAUAUUCCCAUGGGGACAUGUGCAGAUGAUAUGUUCACAGUGUGAAUAGAGACUCAAACACUAACAGUGGGAUUCCUUCUUGCCUUUAAAAUGUUGCCAGAGUACCUUGAGCCAUAGUGAUGUAGUACGUAAAAUCUCAAUAUUUGUAAUUUAUCGAAGCAUGGUACUUAGUAUAUGUGUGUGUGUGUAUGUGUAUAUUAUUUUAACACCAGAAGCUCGGAAUUUUGCUGACACAGUGUAUUUGUGUGCUUUAUAUGAUUCUCAAAAUUAACAGAAAUUGUUUUCAUAAACAGUAUUGGCUCUGUAAUAGAGACUCAUUAUGUUUUCUGUUAGGUAGGCACUGAAUUUGUAAAUAUUGUGUAGAUGAAGUUCGGGUUUCUAAAGGAUAAGCCAUUUUUUGUUCACAAAUAAAUAUCUUAAAUGAAAUCCAUUCAUCAUGUUAUAAAAUGAAACAUAUAUUAUGCCAGCUUUAAGGUGUGAUUCAAAUAUUUGGUGCCCAGAUUUUAUAUUUGAGUUUAGGGCAUGAGCUGCUGUCUCCCCUUCCUGCAGCUCCAUUUGUGGACAGAUUGCUCGGCAGUACAGAGGUGCAUUGUGUUAUCAGUUGACAUGUAACAAAUAUUACAGUAAGAUUUUGGUAAAUACUGUUGCUUGUAUUAUGUGAAGCAUGUCACAUCUGUUAUGAUGGACACUGUGGCACCAAGUAUAUACAGUGAAAUGCCCUGUUUAUUUUUUUUUAGGGGUGCAGUGGAUUUUAAACACCAAACUUACUAAAACCUGAAGUGGAGGAAAUAUAACAUUGAGGUUAUUAUUUCAGGUAGUUGAAACUGAAUGUUACAUGAGGGUGUAUGUUUGCAAUGUGUAAUACAGUGUUGUGUAAUUACAUGAUUGUAUUCUUGCAAUUUUAUUGUCACUAAAACUGGCCUCUUAUUAUAAAGGUACAAUAGUGUCAUGUCAUGUUACCGUAUAUUGUGUUUUGUAUAAAAAAUAAACACCAUGUAAAGUA